AGUGAACGCUGGCGGUAGGCCUAACACAUGCAAGUCGAACGGCAGCACAGUAAGAGCUUGCUCUUACGGGUGGCGAGUGGCGGACGGGUGAGGAAUACAUCGGAAUCUACUUUUUCGUGGGGGAUAACGUAGGGAAACUUACGCUAAUACCGCAUACGACCUACGGGUGAAAGCAGGGGAUCUUCGGACCUUGCGCGAUUGAAUGAGCCGAUGUCGGAUUAGCUAGUUGGCGGGGUAAAGGCCCACCAAGGCGACGAUCCGUAGCUGGUCUGAGGGGAUGAUCAGCCACACUGGAACUGAGACACGGUCCAGACUCCUACGGGAGGCACCAGUGGGGAAUAUUGGACAAUGGGCGCAAGCCUGAUCCAGCCAUACCGCGUGGGUGAAGAAGGCCUUCGGGUUGUAAAGCCCUUUUGUUGGGAAAGAAAAGCAGCAGGUUAAUACCCCGCUGUUCUGACGGUACCCAAAGAAUAAGCACCGGCUAACUUCGUG
rnacentral:rRNA from 1 species